rnacentral:rRNA from 1 species
UAGGGAAUCUUCGGCAAUGGACGAAAGUCUGACCGAGCAACGCCGCGUGAGUGAAGAAGGUUUUCGGAUCGUAAAACUCUGUUGUUAGAGAAGAACAAGGACGUUAGUAACUGAACGUCCCCUGACGGUAUCUAACCAGAAAGCCGCGGCUAACUACGUGCCAGCAGCCGCGGUAAUACGUAGGUGGCAAGCGUUGUCCGGAUUUAUUGGGCGUAAAGCGAGCGCAGGCGGUUUCUUAAGUCUGAUGUGAAAGCCCCCGGCUCAACCGGGGAGGGUCAUUGGAAACUGGGAGACUUGAGUGCAGAAGAGGAGAGUGGAAUUCCGUGUGUAGCGGUGAAAUGCGUAGAUAUAUGGAGGAACACCAGUGGCGAAGGCGGCUCUCUGGUCUGUAACUGACGCUGAGGCUCGAAAGCGUGGGGAGCAAACAGG